rnacentral:misc_RNA from 1 species
GGGAGAACCAUAUUAAACAUUUCCGAGUCGCAAAAACCUAAACCUUGACAAAUUUUUCUCUCAGGAAAUCCAAUGAAUCCUCUUCUCUUAAUCUUUUUGGCCCCAGCAGAAAUUAGCAAUCAUACUGCUAAUAGAAGCACAAAGGGAUGAAGGCAGACAAAAGCACGUCACAGUGUAUACUGGAAUGGCUAAAGCCUUAAUUAGAACCUCUUUCCUCCCUUGUGUACAGCUUCUCCUUCCAACCUACAAUUUUACUCUAAAUUUUUAACUUAAAAGCCUGAAAAGUUUGAAAUUUUGAUCUAAAGAUUACUGCAGGUAAACCAAGAAACUUAUCUUGACCCCGAACAUUUUGCACACAAUGCAAGGAAGAGACACAACCGUGUAUUCAGCCUAUCUGGCCGUGUCAGCCUCCAGAUUC